ensembl:lncRNA
CAUCCGUCUGCCCUGGGCAGUGACCGGGCGCCCGCAGGGAAUUAUGAGAGGAGAAGGGAGCCCGGCCCCGCGGGGUCCAGGGCUCUGGUGGCCGAGUCCGCGCUGGGCGUCGGCGGGCGGGGGGAGGCGAGGCGGGGGGAGACUCGGCCCUCCGUGGGCCGUGGCCAGCACGGGGCGGGGCUGUUCAGCAGGGAUCGAUCCCUUGUUCGGUUUCCGCAGAGGUGCGCUGCCUGCCUGUGGGCGGGGCGGGGCCGAGUCCCUGGGCGUGGGGCCCGCGAAUGGGCUGAGCGCCCAGCCGCCCGCGGCCUGCAGAGCGGACCAGGUGGCCGCGGGGAGCACGUUCCUGCCACACUUGAAACGCACCAGAAUGUUAGUAGCCAGCAAUCACCCCCUGCCCCGUGACACCAGCUGCUGGUGGGCAUCGCAUCUGUCAGAGCAAUGGCUUCAGGUUCCACUCAGGAUUCCACCCUUUUUAAUGCCUGAAGAGUUUCCGUGGGGCAGAGCACCGUGUUUCCUUUCUCCAUGCUUCAGUCGGUGGACACUUGAUUUAUUUCUAUUUCUUGGUUACUCUUAGUAGUGCAAAAUAAACGCAGGAAUACAGAUUUCUCUUCCAUAUACUGAUUUUAUUUAUUUUGAAUAUACACCCAGUAGCAGGAUUGCUGGAUCAUAUAGUGGCUGUAAUUUUACUUUCUCUUUUCUUUCUCUCUUUCUCUCUCUCUCCUUCCCUCCCCCAUUCUGUCUGUCUCAUCCUCUCUUUUUCUCUUUUAUAAGGAUCCGGGGAAGUGGACGUGACUGGAGAGCCCUGCAGCAGGUCCCAGCCUCCUGUGAGCCACCACAGCACCAGUGAAAGGUUAAAGAAUAGACAGAACAGAACAAGACAUCAUGAAGCUGAGUCUUGGGUCCUGGUCGAUGUUGCUGGUGGCAACAAAGACAGAAGCCCCAAGCAUGUCCAGUAUUUAUUGAAUGCAAUCGUGAGAAGCAAUAGGGAGCCAGGGAGCUUUGAAGUCAUCUAGUGAGUAACUGCCAAACACCCGGCACGAUGGCGCCAGGCAGGGCUGUCCGGGAGUCAGCACUGCUUAUCUUGCUGGGAUAGAAGAAACCUGCACUGGGACCAGGCACAGUUAGCAAGCAACCCACAAGAUCCCUGCAGUUCUAGGGGAUUCACAGGACGGAGCCACCACCGAGAGCGAAACACUGGGCAAAGCCCCUGUUUGCACCCGUGAAGGGCCGUUGCUCUCCCAGACGGCUUUGUGCUCUGUACUCCUUACCCAGGGUCCGAAGUGGCUUUCUCUGGGGCAGUUUUCACCAAGAAACUUUUUUAUGUUGUUUCCCAUGGGUUCUGGGCCAUAGGAUUGUCCCCUGGGAGACACAGCUGCUGGGGGUGGGGUGCUCUGGGUCGAAGUCCCGCCAUGCCCUGUGGACAGCCCUGUUCAUGCCUGUGCCGGGCAAAGGUGCUGUCCCUGCCUGGGGCUUUGGGCACAGUCGGGGCAAUCAGAGCCCUCAGGUUUGAAGGUGCCGUGUGUUUCCAGGGCAGCAGUGAAGCCAUGUGGCCGCUGUGACCUCACUGACCCCGGGUAAUGUAGACCUGCUCGGUACCAGGCGAAGUUCCGAUGUCAGUUAACCGCUGUUUGAGUGUGUCUGUUGGCACUGUCCUCUCCCGUUUCUGGAGUCUUAAGGCCUGAGCCUGGCUAGGAAACAGUGGAGCAAAUGCAGUUGCUGUCCCCACCAGUUCCAUCCGACUUCUUGCAAAUCAGCUCCCCAAAUCUCAGUCGCGCUCCCGGAUCGUUACAACUGUAAGGAGCAGAACAAGCCUUGGCUUAGGGGUGCGUCCCGCUCAUGUGUGGCUGGCUGUAGUUCCCCAAAGAAAGAUCCCGGUCAUCGCUGGCCUGCGGGUGGCGGGGCCAUUGCCAAAGCCACUGGGAUGGGAGAAGCUUGGCAUCUUCUGCAAAGACAGCAGUGUCCUGGGCUGGUGAUGCAGCUCAGUGGCACCGCGGCUGCCUGGCAAGCUCAAGGUCCUGAGUUCCACCCCGGUACCAAACAAAGAGGCCAGAGCACGGGUGGCUCCUUGGAGCCUGCUGCCGAGCAUCGCCCGGCAGGGAAAAGCAGCUCACUGCUGGAGGGGAGCCUUGCAGGCUGGCGUAGGGGUGGGCGAUUGGGUGCCAAGCAUCGAUGGCGAGAACGCAGGGAGCCUCGUGCACAUUGAAGCCCGGAAUGAGAUGCGCGUCUGAGGGGAGCGGCUCGGCUGGGGCCUCAGCAGGCCUCAGCCAGUGCAGAGCACGGCACGGAACACAGCCGCUCCAGCGCUGUCCCCGAUGCCAGCAAGCAGCGGCUGACGGAGAAUACCGAGGACGGCACCGCGGCCUGGGACAGGCCGGCCUGUUCCUUCCGCAUCCUUGUCUACCUCUCGGACACUGAGCUCAUGCGGAACCCGGAUGAGGAGCAUCUGAAGAAAUCGAGGGAAAAGUAUGUCCUGGGGCUGCAGAGCCCACGCCACACGGCUCUGGGACUGGCACCGCCGCGCUCUGCCCACUGCUCAGCGGCAGUCACAGCCCACCCUCUGUGGCGGCUGCCCCCUGUACCUCUCUCUGUUCCUCCUGCCCAGGGCGCUGGAGCUUUUGCCAACCUCACCUACGCCUCUUCCGCCCCUGGCCUGAGCCUCCUGCUGGCACAGGGCCUGGCGUCGUCUGACGCUGCCAUCCCUCCUUGCCCUGUGGGACUGCUGUGUGCAGGGCUGUGCUGCCUUUGGGAAUGGAAAUAAACAUUCUCAACCUUCGAAAAAGAAAAGAAAAGAAAAAGACUGUUAAAGACGGCAUCUUUGCUACAUGCUGCAGAACCGUAGGUACUACAUAUAACUGCCAGGUGUCUCAAACAGGAAGAAGGUAGAAGGGGAGGGUGUUACCCAUUGUUUUUGUUUUUGUUUUGUUUUUGAGACAGGGUCUCACUCUGCAGUCCAGGAUGGCCUUGAACUCACAGAGAUCCUCCUGCUUCAGCCUCCCAAGUGCUGGGCUAACAGGCGUGUGCCACCACACCUGCCCACUCUCGGUGAUUUUACAUAGCUUCAUAUAACCUCAUCUGUUCUCUCAGCCAGGUAGCCCAGGUCCCAAGACAUCAACAUUUGCUUUAUCCCUUCAUAAUCAUACAUACUUUAGGGGCUGGCAAGUUACCCAGGUGAGACUCGAACUUGUGACCCUCCUGCCUCAGCCUCAGUCUGUUGGACUUACAGGGAUGCACCACCGCAGCGGCUACUUUUCUGGUCUUUAGAAAGAUUUAGUUAGUUUAUGUAGAGAUAGGGUCUUGGUGUGUAGCCCAGGCUAGCCUCAAACUGGACUCGAGCAAUCCUCCUGCCUCAGCCUCCAGAGUGGCUGAGACCACAGGCCUGUGGCACUGCUCCAGCCCACCUUACUUUCUUUAACAACACAGGCAGGGGUUCACUCCAGGGAAGCAUACAGAAGUUCUUUCUCCCUUUCUUACACUCCAUAGUACUUUGGAUGUAAUCGAACCAGCUUCCCCUUGUUAGGUAGUUGGGUUCUUUCUAGUCUUUGGUGUUACAAACAGGGACACAAUAGAUUGUAUGCAAAUACUUUUUCACAUUUUGCCAGUGACUUUUUGGGAACAGAUCCUGGAAGUGGUAUUGCCAGUCCAAAGAGGAAGUGAGUGAGUAACUUGGCUGAACAUUGCCCCUGGCUGCCCUCCAGGGGGUCACCUCGGCUACAGCACUCCGGCCUCUGCUUCCUCCAGGUUUGCCAACAAGUGCACUGACAAAAAUACCGAUUUUUGCCAAUCUGAUGGGUAAAACGUGCUCCCUUAGUAUGGCUUGGCAUUUUUUUUGUGGGAAGCAAGUCUGAACA